GGCUGAUCGAGACUAUCGGCUCUCUAUCGACGCACUCGGCUCUCCGCGCGCAUGUGCAGUGUGCGCCGGCGCCGCCAUUGCUGUCCUGUCAGUGAGGCGCUGCGAGCCGGCGGCCGCCCGAGCUGAGCAUGGAGUUCCAGGCCGUGGUGAUGGCGGCGGGAGGCGGUUCCCGUAUGACAGACCUGACCUCCAGCAUCCCCAAGCCGCUGCUCCCCGUGGGCAACCGACCCCUGCUCUGGUACCCGCUGAACCUCCUGGAGCGGGCUGGCUUCGAAGAGGUUAUUGUGAUUACGAGGAAAGAAAUCCAAAAGAUGCUAAACUUGGACACAAAAAUGAAGCUGGAUUUCGUGUGCAUCAGUGACAACAUGGACAUGGGUACAGCAGAUUCACUUAGACAUAUUCACCAGAAAAUUAAGACUGAUGUCUUGGUGUUGAGCUGCGAUUUGAUCACAGAUGUUGAUUUAUAUAAAGUUGUGGAUCUCUUUCGGACUCAUGAUGCUACUCUCUCCAUGCUGAUGAAGAAAACUCAUGAACCCACAGAAGUGGUACCAGGACAGAAAGGGAAAAAAAAGCCAGUGGAGCAGCGCGACUUCAUUGGAGUGGAUGACACAGGAAAAAGAUUGCUCUUCAUGGCUAAUGAAGCUGACUUGGAUGAAGAACUUGUCAUUAAAAGAUCCAUCCUUCAGAAGCACCCCAGAAUGCACAUCAGAACAGGGCUGAUGGAUGCCCAUCUCUACUGUCUGAAGAAAUACGUGGUAGACUUCCUUGUAGAAAACAGAUCAAUCACAUCUCUCCGGAGUGAGCUGAUUCCACAUCUGGUUAGGAAACAGUUCUCUUCUCCUACAUCAUUGCAGCAAGGACUAGACAACAGAGAAGAGGACCAGAAGAAAAAAGAACAAACAUCCCUAGACAUUUACAGUUUCAUAAAGGAAGAUAAUAGCUUGCUGAAACCUGCUGCAGAUAACUCCUGUUGGAAUGAUCAUAGAGGAGAUAUGAAUGAAACUCUCCAUGAAGGAAAAGUGCGCUGCUAUGUCCAUAUAAUGAAAGAGGGACUUUGCUACCGAGUGAAUACUCUUGGUUUGUAUAUUGAAGCUAACCGACAGGUUCCUAAACUAUUGCUUAAUCUGGGUCUGGAAGAGCCGCUGGUUCACGGGACAGCACAGAUCACAGACAGAGGCAUGGUUGGAUCAGACAGCAUCAUUGGGUCAUCCACGCAAGUGGGGGAGAAGACAUCCAUUAAACACUCCAUCAUCGGCAGCAUGUGUACCAUAAAAGACAGAGUUAAGAUAACAAACUGCAUCAUCAUGAAUUCUGUUACGAUUGAGGAAGGGUGCUGUCUUCAGGGCAGUGUCAUUUGUCAUAACGCAAUAAUAGAGAAGGGUGCAGACAUCAAAGACUGUUUGAUUGGAAGUGAUCAGAGGCUGGAAACCAAAGCCAAACAUGUUAAUGAAGUCAUUGUGGGCACUGAACAGCUGAUGGAGAUAUAACCGGAGUAGGUUUUAAAGAUGAUUUUAUGGAAGCCAGCAGCAGAACCAGAUGUUCAAGCAUCGUGUUUGGGGUGAGAUAAAAGUAGAUCCCAAAGUGAGAUUUCGCAGCACAAAUUAUCAAAGUGAAGAUUCACUCUUGAUGCACUCGACGUGUGUGGCAGUAAUUAUGAAAAAUAGUUCAGGAUAAUAGGGCCUUCAGGAAUCCCAAGGCGGGCACUGGGAGGUUAACCCUUCCUCAUCUAACCAGGUCUCCACACUGCUGUCAUCAUCAGGUGAGCAGAUGAUGGGUUGAGUCAGGCAACUUCAGUCAUAAAUGUUACUGUCUUCAAGAGAACUGGGGAGGCGACCAAGGAAAUGAAGUUCUGUUCCCAGUUAUAGAUGUGACUGUUGAUCCUGUGUCCUACACACCUUCAGGAAGGUGUUGCUGGCUGAGCUGCUUAUCAGCUUUGAAGAAUGGGUCACCUCUCACAUAGCAAGUAAGUCUCCUCACUGUGCUGCUCUAUCGUACCCAUGCAGCAGACUGUCACAGCCCGUGCCCAUCACAGUGCUGUUAACACCAAGUUGGUUCUUUAUGUUUCUCUGAGAUGGAACUUCCCAACUCUGUAGGUGCCGGUGCUUUUGGACAGGCUUGUCCUGAGCACUUCCUUGGCAGAUGUACAACCGGGGUUGAUGUGAGAAGGUUCUUGCAGUGGCAUGCCACGUGCUGCAUCUGCACGUGGUGAAGCAGAGGCCUGCCAUGAUGCCCAGUGAGGUCCCCAGCCAGCAGCACCUCUGGCUCCUGGGUGUCACUGGGCAGUGCCCUGGGCAGCAGGUUGGUGUGGGUGCAGAGCCCAGCAGCAGUGUGUGCACACACUGCACCCUACUCCUUCCUGUGAGUCUUGCACCACUAUUACACCAUGAUGGGGGCACCUGAAGCUUUGUCCCUUGCCCUGGCUCCUGUGAGAGGUGGGUACCACCUGCAACAGCUCUGCAGCGAUGUCCUUCCCAAGGUGUUCAUCGUCCUUCAUGUGGGUCAGGAAAAUUCAAUGCACAAAUAGAGGCUGGGUACAGAAUGGAUUGAGAGCAGCCUUGAGGAGGACUUGGUGGUAUUUGUCAGUGAGAAGCUCAACAUGACCCAGCAGUGUGCACUUGCAGAAAGCCAGCCUUCUCCUGGGCUGCAUCCCAAGGAGCAUGACCAGCAGGUCAAGGGAGGGGUUUCUCCUCGUCUACUCCG